AACGAACGCUGGCGGCAGGCUUAACACAUGCGAGUCGAACGCCCCGCAAGGGGAGUGGCAGACGGGUGAGUAACGCGUGGGAACGUGCCCUUCGCUUCGGAAUAGCCCCGGGAAACUGGGAGUAAUACCGAAUACGCCGUAUUGGGAAAGAUUUAUCGGCGAAGGAUCGGCCCGCGUUAGAUUAGCUAGUUGGCGGUGUAAUGGACCACCAAGGCUAUGAUCUAUAGCUGGUCUGAGAGGAUGAUCAGCCACACUGGGACUGAGACACGGCCCAGACUCCUACGGGAGGCAGCGGUGGGGAAUCUUGGACAAUGGGCGCAAGCCUGAUCCAGCCAUGCCGCGUGAGUGAAGAAGGCCUUAGGGUUGUAAAACUCUUUCGCCGGAGAAGUUAAUGACGGUAUCCGGAGAAGAAGCCCCGGCUAACUUCGUGCCAGCAGCCGCAGUAAAAC
rnacentral:rRNA from 1 species